rnacentral:lncRNA from 1 species
AUCAAACUGGUCUUUAUUUUCAAGAUUUUGUGAAAUCUGAGUAAUGUCAUACAUCCAAGGUCUAAUGCUGGAUAUGAUUAUAUAUUUGACUUUUUCUUUCUUGACAUCAAUGCACACAUGCUUGAAUUUAUUGGCAAAAGGAUGAUUUUGAAGAGAAUGAGAGUUGUUUGGAAUGACUUGGAAAGCUGGGACAAGCACAUGGGCACUACAAUCCUCAAAGGGGAUGUAAUAUGUGAGUGUCAAGACAAACAUGAUAUACCAAAAACUUUUGCCCCGGUUUGGUGUUUGGGAAAAUGAGCUGGGGUUUGGAUCCAUGAACAUUAGGGUGACACAAAAUCAAGUGAGACUUGCAAAGUUGCCCCAGUCAUGAGAUUAUGGAUUGAUGAAAUUUUGUGCGAGACUUACAAUGUUGCCCCAGCCAUGGGAUUAUGGAUUGAUGAAAUUUUGUGUGAGACUUAUAAAGUUGCCCCAGUUUUUUUAUCGUGGUAUGGGUUGAUGAAAAAUUCGUGUGAGGUUCACAAAGUUGCCCCAGUUUUUCUUCGACAAGGGGUUCAGUUUGGAAGAGGUAGUGGACAUGUACAAGAUCGGCUAAAAGGGUGGCCCCCAAUUGGUUUGAUUUUUCUUUUGCAUGCUUNUGGUUAGAUGGCAGGAAGAUCCCCUUUUCUUGAGACAUUUUUUUUUAUUUUUUUUAUUUUUUUACGACAUGGUGAAAGUCACCUUAUCGCAAAGUUAAGCUUUAUGAAAAUUUUAGCAAUCAUUAUUCAAUCUGCGUGGACUUUAUUAGGUUCGUAAUGUGGCUAAGGGCUAAAAGGUAUUGAAAGAAAGGAUAUUAAGGCCCAAAUGAAUGCGUAUUGGUUAUUUAUUUAUUUAUGUAUUUAUUUUUUGAAACAAAGGUUAUCAUCUAAGCAUCGCAUCAACUAUUUGACAUUUUGAGCAUUUUGCUUCUUCUUUGAACUUUGAUUUUCAUUCUUUUUGCCCAAUAUCACUUUGUGAUUUUUUGCUGUUCUUUUUGUUUUUUUCUUUUGUUUUUUUUUU